GACGAACGCUGGCGGCGUGCCUAAUGCAUGCAAGUCGCACGCGGCACCUUCGGUGGCUGAGUGGCGAACAGCUUAGUAACAGGGUGGGACCUGUGCGGGUAUGGGGGACGACACCUCGAAAGCGGUGCUAAUCCCGCAUAGGCUCUGAGUAGGAAAGCCGAAAGGCGGUCCCGGGUGGCACUGCGGCCCAUCAGGUUGUUGGGGGGGUAACGGCCUACCAAGCCAAUGACGGCUCGCUGGUCGGUUAGGACGAACAGCCCGACUGGGACUGGGACACGGCCCCGAAUCCUACGGGAGGCAGCAGCAAGGAAUUUUUGGAAAUGGGCGCAAGCCUGAACGCGCAACGCCGCGGGCAGGAAGACGGUAUUCGGGUUGUAAACUGCUUUUGCUAGGGAUGAUAAAAGACAGUACCUGGCGAAUAAGCCCCGGCUAACUCUGUG
rnacentral:rRNA from 1 species